GCCUUCGGGCCGUCAGUGGCGGACGGGUGCGUAACACGUAAGCGACCUGCCUUCAGGUGGGGGAUAACCCCGGGAAACCGGGGCUAAUACCGCAUGUGCUCUUUGGACUGCAUGGUCUAGAGAGGAAAGCUCCUUCACAGGAGCGCUUGAAGAGGGGCUUGCGGCGUAUCAGCUAGUUGGCGAGGUAACGGCUCACCAAGGCGACGACGCGUAGGGGGUCUGAGAGGACGGCCCCCCACAUUGGGACUGAGAUACGGCCCAGACUCCUACGGGAGGCAGCAGUGGGGAAUCUUGCGCAAUGGUCUAACGACUGACGCAGCGACGCCGCGUGCGGGAGGAAGGUCUUCGGAUCGUAAACCGCUGUCGGGAGGGAAGAAGCGGCCCGGGGGGAAAUACCCGGGCUCUGACGGUACCUCCAAAGGAAGCACCGGCUAACUCCGUGCCAGCAGCCGCGGUAAUACGGAGGGUGCAAGCGUUGUUCGGAAUUAUUGGGCGUAAAGCGCGCGCAGGCGGUCGAAAAAGUCUAUGGGUCAAAGGCCGGGGCUCAACCCCGCGUACGCCCAGGAUACUCUUCGACUGGAGACACGUAGAGGCAAGCGGAAUUCCGGGUGUAGCGGUGGAAUGCGUAGAGAUCCGGAAGAACACCGGAGGCGAAGGCGGCUUGCUGGGCGUGAUCUGACGCUGAGGCGCGAAAGCGUGGGGAGCGAACAGGAUUAGAUACCCUGGUAGUCCACGCUGUAAACGAUGGGCACUGGAUGCGGGGGGGAUCGGCCCUCUCCGUGUCGCAGCUUACGCGUUAAG
rnacentral:rRNA from 1 species